rnacentral:rRNA from 1 species
AUUGAACGCUGGCGGCAUGCUUUACACAUGCAAGUCGAACGGCAGCGCGGGCUUCGUCCUGGCGGCGAGUGGCGAACGGGUGAGUAAUGCAUCGGAACGUGCCCAGUAGUGGGGGAUAGCCCGGCGAAAGCCGGAUUAAUACCGCAUACUACCUGAGGGUGAAAGCGGGGGACCGAAAGGCCUCGCGCUAUUGGAGCGGCCGAUGUCGGAUUAGCUAGUUGGUGGGGUAAAGGCUUACCAAGGCGACGAUCCGUAGCUGGUCUGAGAGGACGACCAGCCACACUGGGACUGAGACACGGCCCAGACUCCUACGGGAGGCAGCAGUGGGGAAUUUUGGACAAUGGUGGCAACCCUGAUCCAGCCAUGCCGCGUGCGGGAAGAAGGCCUUCGGGUUGUAAACCGCUUUUGUUCGGGAAGAAAUCCUCUGGGCUAAUACCCCGGGGGGAUGACGGUACCGGAAGAAUAAGCACCGGCUAACUACGUG